UACGUAGGGUGCAAGCGUUACUCGGAAUUACUGGGCGUAAAGCGUGCGUAGGUGGUGAGUUAAGUCUGAUGUGAAAUCCCCGGGCUCAACCUGGGAAUGGCAUUGGAUACUGGCUCGCUAGAGUGCGGUAGAGGGUGGUGGAAUUCCCGGUGUAGCGGUGGAAUGCGUAGAGAUCGGGAAGAACAUCAGUGGCGAAGGCGGCCUGCUGGGCUGUUGCUGACGCUGAGGCGCGACAGCGUGGGGAGCAAACAGG
rnacentral:rRNA from 1 species